CCCGGGUCUUGUACACACCGCCCGUCACACCAUGGGAGUGGAAUCCGCCAGAAGUAGGUAGUCUAACCGCGAAGGGGACGCUUACCACGGUAGGUUCAUGACUGGGGUG
rnacentral:rRNA from 1 species